CUAUAUUGGAAGAAAUUUAGUGUUGUAACUAUGGCUACUGACUGUCACAGAGGAUCAGGGAGAGAGAGAAUCUGUGUGUGUAUAAAAGUGAAAUAAUGCUGUUUAUUUUCAUGAAUUUGGAGUAACUACAUAACUCAUCAGGACUGCUGAAGCCUGUAUAGCCUACCAGAUUCAUAAUGCACUGCAUCACAGAGAAUUAGUUCAUAACUCAUUCAAAGCUCAACUCAGUAUUACUUGACUGACCACACUUCAUUUGCUGCGAAAUCCUUCUAUUUGUUUGGUGUACUUUUUUAAAGAAAUGGAACUUUGAAUGAUGGCCUGUUGGCAGAUAUAUUUGCCUCCCAGGGCCAUGAGUUGCAUGGGUGUAAGCAAGGGCAGAGUUUGUCUCUAAAUGACUAAAAUGCUACGCUCCCUUGGCUGUGAGAUGCAGAGGGAGUGCAUAAAAAUAACACAGAGCAUGAAAUCUUCAAAAGUAGCAGAAAGAGUGGGCUGAGCCACCAUAACAUGCCGCCUCCUUCCCAGGGGGCCUGCAAAAAGAUUUCUGCGCUUUCAGUCAGCCUUGCUUACCAGCAUUAUAUGUAUUGAUAAAGGCAAGGGCAUAGGGCUAGGGAGACAGCAUUCUCCAAAGCUAACAGUAAUUCUCUUGUCAAUUAAGCAAAUUGUGCCAACGCCUCCGGUAGGGCAAGGUGGGAUGAAGGAUGUGGGUGGGUGCAGUAGUGGUGGCUGAUGAAGAGCUUCGGAGACCUUCAGUGAUGGUGGAUACGCAGAGGACUGAGGUGUGCCAUGUUGCCCUCUGCGUCCAUGGUCACUGCAAUCUUCCUGCAGUAUGGCAAGAUGUGCCUCUACGUUUCUGAUGAGUGGUAGCCUCUGUAGCUUGACCCAGUAGCCAAAGAUGCCUUGUGUGUACACCUCGGCGAGAUGAGAACGGCCACACGCACUGCCUGGGAACUGCUCACACUUAGAGAAAACAUUUCUUUGGGCAAGUGUCUGGAGAAUGAACAAAGGAACAAAGCGCUUAAGCAGCACCUUUCUCAAAGUUGCAGAGAAGGCUACCGGCAAAGCAAGAGGCACCAGCUUUCAUCACAGGCUCCUGUUAGCGUACUGUCCUUUGAUCAGGUCGUCUCCCCAAGCUCAUGGGGUUCAGUCUGGAUACAUGAUUCCCUACAUAAAGACAAGCAUGGAGAAGAAGGAAAGAUUAAUCCUCAGACAUCCUUUAUGGAGAAUCUCAAUGCAAGAGAAUAUGCUGAGGGACUCAGCAUGAAGGUGUGUUAUUUGUAUUAAUCUGCAUCCACUACCUUAUUUAGGACUAUCUGUUUUUAUUGUGACAUUUCAUUUUCAUCAAAGGCAGUGAAUGUGUUCUGGGGAUUAAAGAUGUGAAGAAGGGCUGUCCUAAAAGAAAACGCCUCCCUGAACUGUGAUACAGUUUGUUUAGUUGGUAUUUAAUUUAUUUUGAUUUUAUUUUGUCAAUCAAGGCCUCUGCGUGCCUUCACCGUGAGGGGGCAGACUGUCAGAUUGAGGGUGAAAUGGGGCACAUGGACAGUGAGAGCUGUUUUUCUAGCAUUAGCCUCACUGGCUCUGGGCUCUGAUACUGUUAGGCAAAAUGGUAUCUUUGCAAGGCUCUGGCAUGAGGCAGCUGUUUUGCAGAGGUUCACAUUAUGCAAUGCUGAACAGAGAGAAUUCAGACAGUGAAUAAACCAAACCGGUGUCGAGACUUCUUGGCCCUA
rnacentral:lncRNA from 1 species